GAUGAACGCUGGCGGCGUGCCUAAUACAUGCAAGUCGAGCGCAGCGGGGACGGGUGAGUAACACGUGGUAAACCUCCUAUAAGUCUGGGAUAACUUCGGGAAACCGGUGCAAAACCGGCUACUUAUAGAUGGAUCCUCGCUGCAUUAGCUAGUUGGUAAGGUAACGGCUUACAAAGGCAACGAUGCAUAGCCGACCUGAGAGGGUGAUCGGCCACACUGGGACUGAGACACGGUCCAGACUCCUACGGGAGGCAGCAGUAGGGAAUCUUCCGCAAUGGGCGAAAGCCUGACGGAGCAACGCCGCGUGAGUGAUGAAGGUUUUCGGAUCGUAAAACUCUGUUAUUAGGGAAGCGGUACCUAAUCAGAAAGCCACGGCUAACUACGUGCCAGCAGCCGCGGUAAUAC
rnacentral:rRNA from 1 species